CUCCUAGUCCUGAUUACCGAAACCAAUCCCCUACCUUCUUUUGCUGAAAAAAAAAUCAAGUAAUAGAAGGUUUUGCCGGCGUCCGGAUCUCUGUUUCACCAUUUUCUUUUGCUUCCCAAAGAUCUCUGUUUUACAUUGCUUUUGGUCAACUUCUCAAUCAACCAAGCCUUUCCCUCUUAACUCAAUGUCGGAUGGUUAUUGAUCAGAUGCUAGAGUUGGAUGGAGGUUCCCAGAAAUCUCCUUUGGGAAGCUAUGCCUACUACUUUUCUCGUGAUUUUAAACCUAGGAAGCCAUUCUUUUACAACAGUAUCUCUUUCUUUGAACUUGAGACGAUUUUCUUUGUGUUGCUCAGAUCUCCCGAUUUUGGCUCUCCCUCAAUCUGCACAAAUGCCUUUUCCCACCAGAAUUCGCCUUCGGUGACAAACUAACCUAAUUUAUGUCGAUGUCACUAGAUUGGACAUUCCUUUCUACCUUCUGGGCUUAGGCCCAAUUAUCAUAUUUUCAAAGCUCAACUCCAAAAAGUGUAUUCCACUGUUCUCUCUGCAAAAGCCCAU